rnacentral:rRNA from 1 species
CCAGACUCCUACGGGAGGCAGCAGUGAGGAAUAUUGGUCAAUGGGCGAGAGCCUGAACCAGCCAAGUCGCGUGAGGGAAGACGGUCCUAUGGAUUGUAAACCUCUUUUGCCGGGGAGCAAAAAGCGGUACGUGUACCGCAUCGAGAGUACCCGGAGAAAAAGCAUCGGCUAACUCCGUGCCAGCAGCCGCGGUAAUACGUAGGGGGCAAGCGUUAUCCGGAAUUAUUGGGCGUAAAGAGUACGUAGGUGGCAACCUAAGCGCAGGGUUUAAGGCAAUGGCUCAACCAUUGUUCGCCCUGCGAACUGGGAUGCUUGAGUGCAGGAGAGGAAAGCGGAAUUCCUAGUGUAGCGGUGAAAUGCGUAGAUAUUAGGAGGAACACCAGUGGCGAAGGCGGCUUUCUGGACUGUAACUGACACUGAGGUACGAAAGCGUGGGGAGCAAACAGGAUUAGAUACCCCCGUA